rnacentral:sRNA from 1 species
CAACCUGGCAACUUCAGCCACAUGGUUCUGGCUUUAGAGUCAAGAUUAAAAGGAAGGGAUUAUGGACAACUAAGGAAAAUGACUGCGGCCAGGCAUGUGGCAAAGGUGUUCCUGCAAGAAGUCUAGAGAAUCUAUUGUGUGAAGCUGUGCAAAUGAAGGCUGAAUUGUGUUGGAGACUCAAGAUUCUGGAGAUGCCAGAGUCAUAGGAUAGCUGCUAAGUAAAGCUGCCAAUAGGGAGUGAAAAGAGCCCAAAAGAAAGAAGUGUGUUGCAAUCAACAAUGCUGACAGGAAUUGAGGAUUUGAAGAGCAUUUGCAUAUUAGACAUGAAGUCCACUACCAGGUGAACAAGAUGCUGCUGGCAUGAUGAGUCCACUUCCACAGAGUCCCUGCUCUUUGCCUUUGCUGACACAAUCAACUGUGACCCUCAGGAACGGUCAUUAUUUCCAGUGCUCAUGGAUGGGGGAGACUGCAAUAAAGAUGGUUAUAUGCACGGUCGUUGAGCCAGAGAUCUAUCCGAUCUUCAGCAACUUGUCUUCUAGGCAGAAAAACUGAAGCCCUGAAUGGUGGCCAUUCUAUUAUGACCCAAAACUGGAGCAACAAGCAAUGUCUCUGAACUUCCAGAAGUUCUUCUGAGAAAGAGCACCAGUGUCCAAGCCAGGUAGUGCUUGACUACCUACUCACAGAAAAUCUCAUCGACAGUGGAAGAAUUGCCUGAAGUGGAUUGUAAAAACAGAACUGCAAGAGUCAAGAGAGUGUUGGAGGGAGUGUUCAGGCCAGAGUCUCUGUUCCAUACAGCAGCAAAUCCUAAGGCUUGAGUGGUAAGCACAUUGUAUUUGUUAUGUUUUAACUUAAAUUAUUGUUUGAGGUUUAUUCCCCAGGUGUGUAGAGGUCCUGAACCUGAACUUGAUUUUAUCUUUACUGUUAGUUUUCAGCAAGAUUCCUUUUUAAUUUGAUGUUUAUGCA